rnacentral:rRNA from 1 species
GACGAACGCUGGCGGCGUGCUUAACACAUGCAAGUCGAACGGAAAGGCCCUGCUUUUGUGGGGUUCUCGAGUGGCGAACGGGUGAGUAACACGUGAGUAACCUGCCCUUGACUUUGGGAUAACUUCAGGAAACUGGGGCUAAUACCGGAUAGGAGCUCCUGCUGCAUGGUGGGGGUUGGAAAGUUUCGGCGGUUGGGGAUGGACUCGCGGCUUAUCAGCUUGUUGGUGGGGUAGUGGCUUACCAAGGCUUUGACGGGUAGCCGGCCUGAGAGGGUGACCGGCCACAUUGGGACUGAGAUACGGACCAGACUCCUACGGGAGGCAGCAGUCGGGAAUAUUGCACAAUGGGCGGAAGCCUGAUGCAGCAACGCCGCGUGCGGGAUGACGGCCUUCGGGUUGUAAACCGCUUUCGCCUGUGACGAAGCGUGAGUGACGGUAAUGGGUAAAGAAGCACCGGCUAACUACGUG